UUUUCAGCAUUUGAGGGACCUUCCUGGUUCUGCCAUUUCUUAAAAACCCAGUUCACUGAUGAGAAGUUUCAAGUACAGCUUGGCAAAUCCAGAGGAUGCCGGGGGAAGCAGCUGAUACAAUUCACAUGUUCACUCAUCUACUGCAUAUGGAAUAUAAGGAAGAGGAGUCCCACAAAAGUCCUGAUGAUACUUUGGUCCAGUUUCACCUGAAAUCAAAAAGAUUGUAUUGCUUCAGUCUGUCCCUGGGAAACCACUAA
rnacentral:lncRNA from 1 species